rnacentral:tRNA from 1 species
GGAACUGUGCCUGAGCGUUCAAGGGCCACUUUGAUAGAGUGAUCUACGGGGGUUAAAAUCCCCCCGGUUCCU